rnacentral:rRNA from 1 species
UGGGGGCAACCCUGAUCCAGCAAUGCCGCGUGGGUGAUGAAGGCCUUCGGGUUGUAAAGCCCUUUCGGCGGGGAAGAUGAUGACGGUACCCGCAGAAGAAGCCCCGGCUAACUUCGUGCCAGCAGCCGCGGUAAUACGAAGGGGGCUAGCGUUGUUCGGAAUUACUGGGCGUAAAGGGCGCGUAGGCUGUGCUGUAAGUCAGGCGUGAAAUCCCCGGGCUCAACCUGGGAAUUGCGCAUGAUACUGCGGCGCUGGAAGACGGGAGAGGAUGGCGGAAUUCCCAGUGUAGAGGUGAAAUUCGUAGAUAUUGGGAAGAACACCGGUGGCGAAGGCGGCCAUCUGGCCCGUAUUUGACGCUGAGGCGCGAAAGCGUGGGGAGCAAACAGGAUUAGAUACCCUGGUAGUCCACGCUGUAAACGAUGAGUGCUAGACGUCGGGGAGCUUGCUCUUCGGUGUCGCCGCUAACGCAUUAAGCACUCCGCCUGGGGAGU